ACGGAAAGGCCCUGCUUGCAGGGUACUCGAGUGGCGAACGGGUGAGUAACACGUGGGUGAUCUGCCCUGCACUUCGGGAUAAGCUUGGGAAACUGGGUCUAAUACCGGAUAGGAACCAUCUUUAGUGUGGUGGUUGGAAAGUUUUUUCGGUGUAGGAUGAGCUCGCGGCCUAUCAGCUUGUUGGUGGGGUAAUGGCCUACCAAGGCGGCGACGGGUAGCCGGCCUGAGAGGGUGUACGGCCACAUUGGGACUGAGAUACGGCCCAGACUCCUACGGGAGGCAGCAGUGGGGAAUAUUGCACAAUGGGCGCAAGCCUGAUGCAGCGACGCCGCGUGGGGGAUGAAGGCCUUCGGGUUGUAAACUCCUUUCGCUAGGGACGAAGCUUUUUGUGACGGUACCUAGAUAAGAAGCACCGGCUAACUACGUGCCAGCAGCCGCGGUAAUACGUAGGGUGCGAGCGUUGUCCGGAAUUACUGGGCGUAAAGGGCUCGUAGGUGGUUUGUCGCGUCGUCUGUGAAAUUCUGGGGCUUAACUCCGGGCGUGCAGGCGAUACGGGCAUAACUUGAGUGCUGUAGGGGUAACUGGAAUUCCUGGUGUAGCGGUGAAAUGCGCAGAUAUCAGGAGGAACACCGAUGGCGAAGGCAGGUUACUGGGCAGUUACUGACGCUGAGGAGCGAAAGC
rnacentral:rRNA from 1 species